GCAUAUGGACGUUCCCAGGCUAGGGGUCAAAUCAGGGCUGUAGCCAGUGGCCUACACCACAGCCAUACCUGAUCCUUAACAGACGGAGCAAGGCCAGGGAUCAAACCCGCAUCCUCAUGGAUACCAGUCGUGUUUUUAACCUGCUGAACCACAAUGCUUUCAUAUGAAACGCUAGUGAGAGACCUUCCAAAGAUGUAUCUCUCUCUCUCCCCUGCCUUGGUGGCCAGCAGUGCCCUGUGAAGGGGCUGCCCUGUCAGUCUGUCUGGACGGUGCUGGCACUGACAGCCAUCUCUGGUCAACUGUGAUGGACAGGUAGCCUGAAUGAGCGAUGAACCUUCACCGCUUUAAGCCACUGGAAUUUGAGGAUGCGUGUCAGUUCCCCAUAACAUCGCCUGACUGAUCGAACCCGCAAGGCGGGGAGAUUUGACCCAUCACCCUGGAUGGAUCGGUAGGGGCUGCCAGGAGCCCAGAGUGGCCUAAAAAACCCUCUGGAGUUGCACCUGGAGUCGGGCAAGUGUGCUCCAGUGAGCUGCUGAUGUCAGUCGUGCUGACUGGGGUGGAGGGGGACACGACGUGAGACUCUAGUACCAUGUGCCUCCUGCCCGGCUGUGAUUUCGGAGGAGUUUACUAACUGGGUUCUUUGCCUCAGCCUCCCGAAGGGCCGCCCCCAGACCCAUUUCCCCCUAAACACCUCUCAUCAGCUGCGCGGCUUUCUGCAUUUCUCACCGCCGUUUUCCCAGCACUGUCCCUCUGCCUGGCUUGCGAGGGCCUCAAAAUUCUGGCCCUGAUAACCCUCCCAGACUCCCUGAUGUUUUCUUCUGUUCUGGCCUCCAAUCCGGGGGCUCCUCGUGGACCGUUCGCAUGCAGUCCCCCUUCCCCAUCCAGCCUGCAUCCUCCUGGACAUUGGGCCGGUUCUCAGAGGACUUCCCUUUGCAGCCCCUGCAGGCACCUGCCCCCUGCACCCAGACCAUUCAGUGCCCACAGGCCAUCCCUUUUCUGCUGUCCUGUUCUGCUGUCUUUCACUCUAUUCUGCCACUGUUAUCUGACAUUGCUCACGUCCAAGCCUUCCCUCCCUGCCUGGGUCCAACACUCAAAGAAUGGCCGUGGCGUUGCAAUCCCGCACCACGGUGUCUUGGGAUCACAGGCACCUGAGAAAUAAGAUUUGACAGAAUUGGUUGGCUUGGCAGGGCUGGGCUAGGGAAUUGAAAGGGAAAGCCAAGGCAAAAAUCACCCAGGGGCCUCACCCCCUUCACUGUCCAGUCCACCCCAGCUCUCCCCUCUCCCAGGCCAGACUUUCCUCCCUUGGCUGGCACGGCCCCAGUGUUUCUCUCCACUCCCUGAAAGGCUGUGCUUCUAAGAAGAGACUAGUGUGGAAGCAGCUCAGCUCGAGCCAUCACUGGUUGUCUGGGAAAGAUAAGAAGAGGCAGUGAAUCAGCUCUGGGAGGCAGGGGGAUGCCUCCUGCCGGGGGGUGAGGUGGGGGGGCAGUGUUUAAGCUGAGUUGUAACGAAGUGUGGGAAUUCUCCAGACAGAGGGCAGAGAAGUGCGCAGUGGACGCCCCAGUCUGCAUAGACGCCUGAGGGCUGGAUCGAUAGAGUCGAGGGUGGCCAGGGGCUACUAAGGAGGUUAAGAAGAAUUGUGAAGAGUAUUCGGAGCCCUGAGGCUGUCAUCUACCGCACUGCAGCUCUCCUUCCCACGCCUGCGUGCUCCCUCUUCGUCCUUCAGGUGUGCGCAGACUUUGUAUGGAAACACAUUCUCAGUGGAUGCUGGACUUUUUUUUUCUUCUUAGGGCUGCACCUGCAGCAUAUGGAAGUGCCCAGGCUAGGAGUCGAAUCAGAGCUUCAGCUGCUGGCCUACGCCACGGCCACAGCAACGCCAGAUCAGAGCCACAUCUGUGACCUACACUGCAGCUAUGUCGAUGCCAGAUCCCUAACCCACUAAGAGAGGCCAGGGAUCAAGCCCAUAUCCUCACAGAUACUGGUCAGGUUCUUAACUCGCUGAGCCACGAUGGGAACCCCAGUGUCUUUUUCUUCUGAGUUCUAUCAUGAAACCUCUUCCAUUCAAGGCACAUCAUCAGUGGUCUCUGCAAGACCCCUCUUUUUCUUUUUUUUUUUUCCUUUUUUUUUCUUUUUAGGGCUGCACCUGAGGCAUGUUGGAGGUUCCCAGGCUAGGGGUCAAAUCGGAGCUGCAGCUGCCAGCCUACACCACACCCACAGCAACGCAGGGUCCUUAAUACACUGAGCAAGGCCAGGGAUUGAACCCCCGUCCUCAUGGAUACUAGUCAGUUAACCACUGAGCCACAACAGGAACACCAAGACUCGUCUUUUCUGUUUUUUUUUCUGCCUUUCUCACUCUUCCUGCCUACAUGCCUCAUAGUCGCCCCUUCUAGUGGGCUUGCUGUGCGCCCCACCUGGCACCCACUGUACCGUUCUGUGCUUGGGUAUGUUUUUCAUUCUGACCAACAGGACUCGAUUACAGCCCUCCCUCUGUUUUUCUUUUUACUCAAUACUGGCUUUUUUUAGAUUCCCUUCUUGUUGGUCUGGGCGCCCCUGGCUCAGGCGAGGGGCUGCAUCCACCCUCCCCUUGCCGCGGGUCCUGCCCUGUUGACUUCCUCCAUCCCCCGCUGACAGGAGGGAAGCCCGGCCAGGUCCUGAGAGGAACACCCCGCGUCUGUCCCCGCGUGGCCUGCGGGAGAGUUCCUCUGGUGCGGAGCCAGGGCCGGGCCGGCUGAGUCAUUGCACCGCGCACGCUUCAUUUCACAAGUACCACCAGAUUGUUUUCCAGGAUGACUGUACCUGUUUGCGCUUCCACUGGCGGUGCUCAGGGCUCUCUGGCUCCCCGUGUCCCCCCCCGCACCUGGCAUUGUCAGGUGCGUGGGAAAGGAUGGAACAUGUUGGGGCACUGGAUUCGCUUCUCUGAGAAGCCCCUCCCUGCGGCAGUUGGCACCUUGUCAUCACAGCAUCUCGAGCAGGAAGAAUGUCGGGUGGGCGAGAGGAGGGGUCUUGCUCCCUGCAACUCUCUGUCUUCUAUUAGGGAAGAAAAUUUCCCCAGAAAUCCCCAGUCGACUUCCCCUUAUGCCUCAUGGCCAGAUGGGGCCAGAUGUCCUCCCCCAGCCAGAGGGAACAAGAUUGCCUCUUCCAUGGAUAUUGCUACCCACCUGCCCAGGACCUGAACGGAAUCGGGAGCAUCUGCGUGAGGAUGCAGAGAGCAGCAGGCAGUGACUUCACCACCUAUGCAUAGCUUUCCACGCUCAAUCCCUAAUGUUGCCCGCUUCUUGAGUGUACGCUGCCUCUUCUGUAGGCAGGACCUUCCCCCACUCUGACCCUCCCGUCUGUGUAAUUAAUCAUUUGCGGAGAAUUUCUGAAGCACGUGCCUUAGAACUGGCAGCUCAUUUUGGAAUCUGCCAUGCUUCGUGCCAGGCGGACAUCAGACCUGGUUCCCCCCUCAGCUGCCCCAACUCGGGUUUCCCUGCAGGCUCCCCACGGAAGAGGUCAGUAUGGAGACUCAAGGGCAGAGCGCCAGGGCUCCUGCCUGUGCACAAUCCCAAGCCGGAUGGCAGCUGAGGACAAGAACACCUGUCUGGGACUAGUACCACGACAGGCAGCAUCUUCCCUCCCGCCAGCCAUGUGCGUGCUGUAGUAACCCUGGUGUUUCUGCCUAACCAAAGAAGCUCACUUCUAGUCAUUAACUUUGGUAAUUUAUUGAGCACGUGCUCUGUGCCAGGCAGCCGAGUAAGCAUUUUUUGCUUAUGAUCUCAUUAAACCUCCGCUCCUGUCUGUGCCAACAUUCAUAAGCUGUGUGACCUUGGGCAGGUCACUUAACUUGUCUGUGCCUCAUUUGUGCACGGAGAACAAUAAUAGUUUGUUACAAGUACCCAAUGAGUUGAUAAAGGACUUAGAAUGACACUGGCUUAGUUCCCCCUUGAUAAAUAUUUAGUUGUUGUUUCCAUUUUAAAAAAUUAAGAAACCAGAGGCUCAGAGAGAUCCACUUACAAAAUAUCAGACAGCAACAAGUAACAAGGACAUGACUUGUCCCAAGAGUUUCUGACUCAAAGCUGGCUUCUUCUCCGUCCCGCUAUACAUCAUCAGGAGUAGCUGCGCGGCCCGAGGUAACGCCACCACUACUCCCCAUAUCAGGAAAGUUAAUUUUCAGCUGAAGAUCCAGUGAUGCUCUUUGUAAAGAAAUAGCUUCUGGCCACCAACCAUGAAGACAGUGUGGUAUUGCCAGCACCGGUAGACGUGUGGGUCAUUUCUAAAAGUGGCGGGGACACUGGCGCAUGAAAGGAAGGAAGGGACAGCAAAAGUACAGGAUUUAACUCCUGAUUGACCACUAACCUUGCUGGCCCUCAGCCUUCUUAUUUAUUUUAUGUUUUUGGUCUUUAUAGGGCCACACUUGUGGCACAUGGAAGUUCCCAGGCUAGGGGCUGAAUCAGAGCUGUAGCUGCUGGCCAACACCAUAGCCACAGUAAUGCCAGAUCUGAACUACGUCUGUGACCUACACCACAGCUCACAGCAACACCGGAUCCUUAACCCACUGAGCGAGGCCAGGGAUCAAACCCACAUCCUCAUGGAUACCAGUCGGUUCAUUACCACUGAGCCACAAUGGGAACUCCCCUUUUUUUUUUUUUUUUUUUUUUUUNUCUUUUCCUGCUGUUCUUUAAAAUCAGGUUUCUAUUAGAGUUCCUCCCAGCAGGAUGGAGGGAGUGCCUUAUAAACUGGGCAUAGUCGGUGCUGCUUAUUCCAGAAUUAGGGUUUUCCACGUUACCUUAUAUUUUGUUCCUUACCUCAAUUUGCACUUCCACCUUCACCCAAACUUUAAGUGUUGUGUCCCCCAGCUCCAUUUUAGUCACUGGAAAUCUCUGAAAAACUAGAGCUUAAGAAUCUUCUGGAAGAGAUUUUUCCAUGCCCAGCUGAGCUGCAUGGGCAAUCAGGAGCCGCUGGGGUUUUUAGAGAGUGGGAUGGGUAUAGUGUCGGUUGGUUGGGGGGCGAAAAAACAAGAUAACUCUCUGCCACCCAGGACAUGCCCUCACUGAAUUUCUCCACGUGUCCCGCGUGCUGGGGCUGUGGGACCGAAUCCUCAGUCGGAGUGGAGGGUCAUGGGCUAAGGCAUGUGGCUUUGAGCAAAAAACGUUGGCUUCAUGGCUCAAAUUUCCUGGAAGGACUUUUAAACCGAACCCUGCGUAACAGGUAGCUCAAGCACCUUUUUAAAAAGUUUUUCCUUUGAAUGUCCCUCCCUUUCUUUUCCAUUUUUCCUUCUCUCUUUCCUCCUUCCCUCCCUCUCUUUUUUCUUCUCUUCCUCCCUCCCUUCCCUGGAAUGCAUUCACAGCACUGAAGAGUUUUCAAAUGAUCCAAAAAGAUAUGCAGUGAAAGUAAAAUGUCCCCUCCCUUGCACUUCCUCCUGGGAGGCAGUCCGCGUCAGAAGGUCGUGUCUGUUCUGGAGACGGGCUGUGUAUAUACUAGACAAUCUGUGUGUGUCGUGUUUCCUUUCUUACUGUGAGGCUGUGUUUAUAGGAUGCAGGCCCCGUGGUCUGCGAUUCUUUCCCAUCCUCCUGAGGCCGCCCCUCCCAUCUGCUUGUUACCAGCUGUUGCCAUUGUCCCUCUCUGCCCGCGGGGCCUCUUCCCAGGCAUGUGUGAUGACAUGGCCUUGGACCAGGCUGGUCCAGCCUGAUGGGUGGGGAAUGUUUUAGUUUCAGGGGGCCGUGGGCUCUACCUUGAUGUUCCCUCUGCAGGCAGGAAGCAGGGAGCCUGGGUGACGGUCCAGGGAUGAGUCCAAAAAUGGUUCCCUUCGUACGUGGCCCCGGGGAACCCGCUUCUCCCCUUUAAAGGGCAGCUUUAAGAACACUUUCUCUGGACUUGGGUCGCCUGGUGCCACAUCGCACACCAGUGAGAUGGGGGAGGCCAUUGUUUCUCAAAUGUGAGCCGUACUCCAGGAGCCCUUAUUAAAUGCAGAUUGCGUGUCAAUUCAUCUUCAUGGGGCUGAGAUUCUGCACUAAUGAUUGAGCUCCCACGUGAUGCUGAUGCCGCUGGCCCACAGCUGACCCAUUCUUUUUUUUUUUUUUUUUUUUUUUUUUUUUNUUUGCUAUUUCUUUGGGCCGCUCCCGCGGCAUAUGGAGGUUCCCAGGCUAGGGGUGGAAUCGGAGCUGUAGCCACCGGCCUACGCCAGAGCCACAGCAACGCGGGAUCCGAGCCGCGUCUGCAACCUACACCACAGCUCACGGCAACUCCGGAUCCUUAACCCACUGAGCAAGGGCAGGGACCGAACCCGCAACCUCAUGGUUCCUAGUUGGAUUCGUUAACCAUUGCGCCACGACGGGAACUCCGGCUGACCCAUUCUGAGUAGCAAAGAGGCACCUGGUGCUCCUCCCACCCCUCCUCCCACUGUGGGGGGACCAGACACCCUCUGUGGAGCACUGGGUCACCCACGUGCAGAUUCUGGCUCCAUCACCCACCAGCCAUUGAAUGUUCAGCAUCACAGUCCAUCUUGCUCCCCAUGCAGUGAGGUGAGCAAGUAUAAUCCUUUUUUUUUUUAAGAUGGAAAAACUGCUACUCAGAGAUGUUAAGUCCUGCGGAGGUCUCACACCUAGUAAGUGACAAAGAUGGAAGUCCAAAGUGGUCAGGGUCCCCUCCGGUCACUGCAGUCCCCAGUGAGCCCAUGGAUGAACGUGGUUUUUCUGCUCUUGAUGAGUGGGUUUGGAGGACUAGGUCAUCCUCUCUUCUCUCCUCUGUAUCCUGAGAUUUAAAUCCUGGCUUCUUCUUUUCAGGAUCCUGGGAAGCACUUGACAGAGGGGAGGAGCCCAGCAAUAACACUGACCAAAGAGAAGUGAAUCCUUUUGCCCAGUGACUGGAAGACACAAGAAAGUGGUGGGGGGUGGGAGGCAGGGGGGAAGGAGCCUGGCACCUUGCCACGCUUCCCCUGUAAGGAGCACACACCCUCUCCCCCACCCCCUCCCCCCAAACACAUAAUACCUUUUAACUGGUGAUUUGGUCACUGCUGUGCUAUCUUCAUUGAAUGUGGUUUUGAGAGAAUGGUUGGUCUGGAAAUUUUAUUUUCAAUUAAACUUCCUUGUGGAACUGCCUUGGUUUUGAAAGGACUCCAUUAGGAUGGCUAAUUAUAUAGCAGUUGCUACAAGGAGAUGUUUGCACUCCAUUGCAGCUCUUAGGUAAUUCAAAUCCAGUGCUUUCUCUUCUCCUCCCUGGAGCCGUGUGUGAUCAUCUUCCGCUCACACCGUCGGCUUCUUGUGAGUUAUUUUUGGAAUUUCAAAUCAAAACAGCGAUUUUGGCGGAUGGGUGAGUAUAUAUGCUCUCGCCUAGCAAAGUAAACCACAUGGACUGAUACACCCAGCCCAAGAGUCGGUGCCUUUAAAGAGCAGCAGAACCAUCUCCCUCCGUGAAGGUUAAAUUGGGGGGAACUGCACACUGUCCUUGAUGGUAUCACAGUCCUCUGUGAGCUCUAUCUGAAGUCAAAGAAAAUUGAGAUUCCUUGAAAAUUACCAACUAUGCGUUGUUCCUCUGCCAAGGGCGGCCAGGGUCAUUUUGUUUCAGGAUGGCGGGUCUUGGCAGAAUUUACUGGGGACUCUGUUUUGGCUGCUGGACCCGCUAUAUGAGACAUGGAAAUCACUUUAUUUUCCCACCCUGUGCUGUCUCCUUCUGUUCCUAGAGCGCAUGGGACAUACCUGACCAUGCAGACUAAGCAAAGAGCCUAAGCUCUUUCGGGGCAGGGCUGUGUUCAUCUUGUUUUGUUCCUGGUGCAUUAUAGGUGCUCAGAUAGUUGAAUAAUUACAUAGAUAAAUGAGUGCUAUCCCAUUUCUCUUUUUCUCUUUUAAUUUUUUAAAUUUUUUUAUGUUUUUGGUUUUUAGGGCCAAACAUGCAGCAUAUGGCAGUUCCCAGGCCAGGGGCAGAAUCAUACCUGCAGCUGCCAGUCUGUGCCACAGCUCACGGCAAUGCUGGAGCGAGACCAGGUAUCAAACUGCAUCCUCAUGGAUGCUAGUCAGGUUCGUUAUUGCUGAACCACAACAGAACUCCAUCUAUUUUUCUAUUUGUUUAUUUUGCAUUUUAGGGCUAAACUUGGGAGUUCCCAGGCUAGGGGUAGAGUUGGAACUGCUGUUGCUGGCCUAUACCACAGCCACACCAAUGCAGGAUCCAAGCCAUGUCUGUGACCUACACCAUAGCUCAUGGCAACCCAGGAUCAUUAACCCACUGAGUGAGGCCAGGGUUCAAAACCCACAUCCUCGUGGAUACUAGUCCGGGUCGUUUCAGCCAAGCCACAAUGGAAACUCCUCUCUCUCUCUCUUUUUUUUUUCUUUUUUUUUUGAAAAAAAUCAUUUAUUACAUAAAUAGUAACUGAAUGUUUUCAUCUUGAGGGGGAAAAGAAACUUUACGGAGUUCCCGUCGUGGCGCAGUGGAAACAGUCUGACUAGGAACCAUGAGGUUGCGAGUUUGAUCCCUGGCCUCGAUCAUUGGGUUGGGGAUCUGGUGUUGCCAUGAGCUAGGGUGUAGGCCGACAGCUGCAGCUCCAAUUGGACCCCUAGCC
rnacentral:lncRNA from 1 species